UGACUAAUUGGAAGAUUAGUGUCGUCUGCUUUUGUUUUGUUUGCAAGUUAUUUCGAAAAUGAGACGAAGUGUAAGAUUAGUAAAGAAAACACAUUCCAUGCUGUUUAGCAGAUGUGAGGUCUGAACCAGUCAGCGUAAGCUUAAGAUAUGCCAGUUUUACUUGGUAUUGACAUGUUAUCAACAAACUCAAUCAACAACAUGUUAUCAUGUCAUCAACAACAGUUUCAGUAUCAUUGCUUAGUUAGAUUAACAGCAUCCCGUUUUAUUCGAGAAACUAACGAUGCCGUUAGAGUUUCGCAACAUUAUCAUUCAACUUUUCUGCGAAUGAAGCACUUCUGGAUGGAUGCCUGGCCGUAUUUCUUAAAGAAUCUUCUGGAGACACACAGACCCACACAGAAAGAAAAGGAAGAAAGAAUAAAGUGGCUGCUGCUAUAUGGUCCACGAGUUAGUAGUCUAUUCUUGGGCAUUAUAAAGAAGAAGAAGAAGAAGAACAGGAGGCUCGUCUUUUGCCUAGCUCGGUAUCUCAAUCCAUCGGCAGUUGGAAGGGAGGCUCAACAGCAGCUAACGACUUAUGGGACUCUCGGAUAAAACUUGGGGGUAGACAAAAAAGAAAACUAAACUCGGAGAAACAGAGAAAAGCCUCUUGUUUGAAAGAAAACUUUCAUCCGGAUUCCGACGGAAUUUUAAGAAGAGAACAAAAGCGAGUCCUCAAAAACAACCCUUUCUUGGAUUCCAUGUCGAGUUUCUUCUUGAGCUCCUUCUCUUUUGGGACGACAAAAGAAAAAGAAAAGGUUGGCGUGUGAUUUCCCUUUUUUCUCGGAUGAAUUUGAAUAAGUCGUCGUCAUAUUAUUUGUAUGCCCAAAUGUUUUCUUUUUACGUUGGAGCUCCCCCCGUAAUAAUCUGAAUAAAUUGGGACACGACAAUUCCUGGCCAGGACUCGGGUAAUAAGCCAGGACGCCACACCCUGUCGAAGCUAGUGGCGCAAUCAAAAACCAGAAAGCUCUGUUAAUAAGUCGAACCAAAUCAAAUCCAAGAAUAAAAGAUACAUAUUAUCAUAUAA